GACGAACGCUGGCGGCGCGCUUAACACAUGCAAGUCGAGCGAAGCGGCGGACUGGUGAGUAACACGUGAGUAACCUGCCUUAGACAUUGGGAUAGCCUCGGGAAACCGGGAUUAAUACCAAAUGGUCUAAGAUGGACUUGUGUUCCAUUAGCUAGUUGGUGGGUAACGGCCCACCAAGGCGACGAUGGGUAGCCGGCCGGAGAGGAUGAACUGCCACAUUGGAACUGGGAAACGGUCCAAACUGUACGGGAGGCAGCAGUGGGUAAUAUUGCACAAUGGAGGGAACUCUGAUACAGCGACGCCGCGUGAACAAAGAAGGCUUUCGAGUCGUAAAGUUCUUUUAUAUGGGAAGCGGUACCAUAAGAAAAAGCCCCGGCUAACUACGUGCCAGCAGCCGCGGUAAUAC
rnacentral:rRNA from 1 species